CUACCACGAUGCAUCCACUCCUCUAGCAUGUGCGGUAGUCGGUCUCCACCUCCUCCAUGCUGCUUGCCUCAGUUGUGCCUCCAGCACCCGACGAGCAGGAUCUAGGAUUCGAGCGGUCUCUCUCUGCUCACAGAUCCACGAUCGGAACUCCUCGCUUAGUGGCACCCCAUGAUUGAGUCCUCUGACGAUGGCGGCUUAGGUUCGUCGCUGCCCUCAAUAGGGAUGGGAAGCCUCAACCCUUCAUAUAUCUUUAGGUGUCAGCUCAAUAGGUCCCCUGUGCGUCGUGGGCGUGGCUCUCGACCUAUGUCCAACCUUGGCUCUCGACCUGUGCCCAUGGUAGCUAUGGAUUUGCUUUGGGUGUCACAAGUUGUUCUUGGCUGAUGACGUGUUGAUGUUAGCAUCAUCGCACGAGCAUGAUCAUAGCUUGCAAUUUACUGUCUUAUAAUUCCUCAAGAGAUGGUUGUUGGUUAGGUAGCCCCAAAGGCAGCCAAAGAAAGAAUAGCGGGUUAGUAACAAAAUACUUGUAUGAGCCUUGCAAGGGUAUAUUGGAAUCAUGAUCCAAUAAUCAUGAAUGUUUAAGAUGAUAAUUUAAUAGCAUCAUAGAAAAUAUAUCACCCUUCAUACA